rnacentral:rRNA from 1 species
AGAGUUUGAUCAUGGCUCAGGAUGAACGCUAGCUACAGGCUUAACACAUGCAAGUCGAGGGGCAGCAUGUUGGUUGCUUGCAACCAACGAUGGCGACCGGCGCACGGGUGAGUAACGCGUAUCCAACCUACCCUUGUCCAUCGGAUAACCCGUCGAAAGGCGGGCCUAACACGAUAUGCGGUUCACGGCAGGCAUCUAAGGUGAACGAAAUGUGAAGGAGAAGGAUGGGGAUGCGUCUGAUUAGCUUGUUGGCGGGGUAACGGCCACCAAGGCUACGAUCAGUAGGGGUUCUGAGAGGAAGGUCCCCCACAUUGGAACUGAGACACGGUCCGAACUACCUACCGGGAGGGCGA